rnacentral:rRNA from 1 species
CCUACGGGAGGCAGCAGUGAGGAAUAUUGGUCAAUGGCCGGAAGCCUGAACCAGCCAAGCCGCGUGAGGGAGGAAGGCGCUGUGGGUUGCAGACCUCUUUUGUUGGGGGACAAAAGGCGGCACUUGUUCGGUUCUGAGGGUACCCGGAGAAAAAGCAUCGGCUAACUCCGUGCCAGCAGCCGCGGUAAUACGGAGGAUGCGAGCGUUAUCCGGAUUAAUUGGGUUUAAAGGGUGCGCAGGCGGGACUUAAAGUCGGCGGUGAAAUCGGGGGGCUCAACCUCGUCGAGCCGUUGAAACUGGGGGCCUUGAGUGCGGGGGAGGCAUGCGGAAUGCGUGGUGUAGCGGUGAAAUGCAUAGAUAUCGCGCAGAACCCCGAUUGCGAAGGCAGCGUACCGUGCCUCAACUGACGCUGAGGCACGAAAGCGCGGGGAUCGAACAGGAUUAGAUACCCGGGUAGUC